UACAGAGGUCUCAAGCGUUGUUCGGAUUCAUUGGGCGUAAAGGGUGCGUAGGUGGGUUGGUAAGUCAGUGGUGAAAUCCCCGAGCUUAACUUGGGAACUGCCAUUGAUACUAUCAGUCUUGAAUACCGUGGAGGUCAGUGGAAUAUGUCAUGUAGCGGUGAAAUGCUUAGAUAUGACAUAGAACACCAAUUGCGAAGGCAGCUGGCUACACGAAUAUUGACACUGAGGCACGAAAGCGUGGGGAUCAAACAGG
rnacentral:rRNA from 1 species